rnacentral:rRNA from 1 species
GACGUAGGGUGCGAGCGUUGUCCGGAUUUAUUGUGCGUAAAGAGCUCGUAGGCGGCUCGUCGCGUCGACCGUGAAAACCCGCGGCUUAACUGCGGGCUUGCGGUUGAUACGGGCGGGCUAGAGUUCGGUAGGGGAGACUGGAAUUCCUGGUGUAGCGGUGAAAUGCGCAGAUAUCAGGAGGAACACCGGUGGCGAAGGCGGGUCUCUGGGCCGAUACUGACGCUGAGGAGCGAAAGCGUGGGGAGCGAACAGG